rnacentral:rRNA from 1 species
GACGAACGCUGGCGGCGUGCUUCACACAUGCAAGUCGAACGAUGAACCGGAGCUUGCUCUGGGGAUUAGUGGCGAACGGGUGAGUAACACGUGUGCAACCUGCCCCAGACACCGGGAUAACCAUUCGUAAGGAUGGCUAAUACCGGAUACGACCACUUCGGGCAUAGGAUGCAGGUGGAAAGGAUUCUGGUCUGGGAUGGGCCCGCGGACUAUCAGCUUGUUGGUGGGGUAAUGGCCUACCAGGGCGACGACGGGUAGCCGGCUUGAGGAGGCGGCCGGCGACACGGGGACUGAGACACGGCCCAGACUCCUACGGGAGGCAGCAGUGGGGAAUAUGGCGCAAUGGGCGAAAGCCUGACGCAGCGACGCCGCGUGAGGGACGAAGGUCUUCGGAUUGUAAACCUCUUUCAGCAGGGAUGAAGCGAAAGUGACAGGACCUGCAGAAGAAGCACCGGCUAACUACGUGCCAGCAGCCGCAGUAACAC